rnacentral:rRNA from 1 species
CAACUUGAGAGUUUGAUCCUGGCUCAGAGCGAACGCUGGCGGCAGGCUUAACACAUGCAAGUCGAGCG